CCUACUAAGAUUAAGCCUAUCAAUAAGUGGAGGAAAAGAAACUUACUAGGAUUCCCCUAGUAACGGCAAGCGAAUUGGGAACUGCCCAACAUGGGAAUCGAGUGGCCCCGCUGCUCGAAUUGUAGUAUGUAGAAGCGUCCUCAGCGGCGGACUGGGCACAAGUCCCUUGGAAGGGGGUGUCGGAGAGGGUAAGAACCCCAUCGUGCCCGGACCCUGCCGCACCACGAGACGUUGUUGGGUUGUUUGAAAAUGCAGCCCUAAUUGGGUUGUAAAUUCAGUCUAAGGCUAAAUACCGACGAGAGACCCAUAGCUGGGUUGUUUGAAAAUGCAGCCUUAAUUGGGUGGUAAAUUCAGUCCAAGGCUAAAUACCGACGAGAGACCCAUAACAAAUAAAUACCGCGAGGGAAAGAUGAAAUGGAAUCCAAACCGUUAUCAAAUGCAAGAGAAUGAGGGCAGUUACAUGCUGGCUGUCCGUACUGUUUGGAGGUUCACAUGUAGGAAAUGCGAUGGCAGUUACAUGCUGGCUUAGCUUACUCGUGGAAUUUCUUAGAGAGACCACCGCAUCGCAUUCAUGGCGUAUCGUAUUUCUUGAACAAAUUGAUCUUACUCUAUGUUCCUUAUCGAUUUUGGGACGUUAUUUUCUUGAGGCACAUACAAGAGUGACCUUAAUUUUUCUUUUUUCUUUAAGCUUUCUAGACCGUACAUCUCUAAAAUUUGG
rnacentral:ncRNA from 1 species